GGAGUUUGGACCGUAUCUCAGUUCCAAUGUGGCCGUACACCCUCUCAGGCCGGCUACCCGUCGUUACCUUGGUGGUCUAUUACACCGCCAACUAGUUGAUAGGAUACGAGCACCUCCACCAGCGCAUUACUGCUUUAACCCGUAGGCCUAUGGGGUAUUAGCAGAAGUUUCCCUCUGUUGUCCCCCUCUGAUGGACAGCUUCUCAUAUAUUACUCACCCGUCCGCUGCUAUGAAAUCUUCCGGUGUCUCCACUUUCCAACUUCACCGCACAACUUGCAUGUGUUACGCACGCCGCCAGCGUUUAUC
rnacentral:rRNA from 1 species